CAGGAACCAGCCUGGGCAACUCAGCAAGUCCCUGCCUCAAUAUAAAAAAAUAAAACAAAUAACUUUACAAGCAUUCAUUGAACUAAGUGUUCAUCUGGGGAUGGGUGAUACUGUUCACAAACAUCCACAGGUACAUUACACUGUUUCAAGACCUCAGUUAUGCUUGGAGUGCUUAUAAAAGUUAAGGAAAAAAAGCUCUUAUUUGUGAAACACAGGGAGCCUUUUGAAAAGCAGGUAGUAGAGACAAUGCCACUACUUUGAUGGUAGUGUUUAUGGACAAGACACACGUGUCAUAAGCCUCUUUAUUACACAACCUACUUUCUUUCCCUCCUCCAGCAGACUCAUCAGCACUGCGCAGCAUCAGCAGUGCAGCAGACACUAACCACUAUUUCUGAUUAGCAAUGGCCAAGAACAUGGGCAAACAAUGAGUCUUUCCAAACCCAGAAAGUUCAUGCCUGAGAAGUAGAGCUAAAUUAGCCUUGGCAUAAAGGCAAAGAAAAAAGAAUACAAGAGAAAGAAAAAGAAAAACUCCAGUAGAAGAACAGGCCUAUAUAAAGGACUUAUAUAAAGGGAUUUAAUCCAGGACCCCACACUGUAGUCACCAUGCCAUCUUACUCUCCUCUAGACUGUGAAAAUGCCCCCACUGUUCUCUGCCAAUUAUGAAUGAGACUGACAGUUCUCUGACCAGGUAUUUUGAAGAAUGUCCCUGUGUGGGUUCAUGUUCCUCAGGCUUUCUCAUGAUUAUCUUGAGGUUAUCAUUUUGGAGAAGAGUUCUACACAAGUGUUAUUCUCUCCUCAGCACAUCACUGGUGGGCUACAUGGUGUCAGGAUAUGGUACUGCCAGUGACGUAAACCUUGGUCACUUGGUGAAAACACUGCCUGCAGAGCGUCUCUAGUGUAAGGUAAGUGACUGACCGUGCCACUCGUGACGGAGUGUUCUACCCCUGGGCUAUGUCUCCAGCCCCAGGCAUUGUUUUUAUCUUUGUAAACAAGAGUUUGGGGCAGAUACCUGGAGACUAUGCAAAUCUCCUCUCAAACCCAGACUACUCAUUUUAGCAUUCAGGGGCAGACCCGGCAGGCACCAAUUCUUACUUUGUUGUCCUAGGGGUGGAUUCUCUACUUCUCUUACUCCUUCUAUCUUUAACUGGAACUCAUCUUUAAAGAAGACAUGUCCCUUCCCAGUAUUACUUUUUUCAAUCAUUUAUUUAUGAAGCAUGGGCUUGUGGGUGAUUAUGUUAUUCUUUGGAUAAUAAUCUAAUACUGUAUUUAUUGUUACUGAAAUUGUUCCAGCUUUUGCCACAAGGUUGACUCCUUUCUAUCUGACUUUUUUAAAAAAGCUCUUCUGAACUUUCUGGCAUCACAAAAUACUUCAGGCUUAUCUUUUAUUUUCUCCUUAUGAGCCCCUAAAUCAAUCACUUCAUCAAGGAGCUUGGGUUCCUUUUACUGGUGCACGAAAUUUAGAAACCUAUACCUGGCUGCUAGAUGUGCUCAUUAACUACUGUAGCUCAUUAGCUAAACUACCAUUAUCAACUUUAUUUAUAGAGUUCACCAUUUUUGCCACUAAUGCCAUUAACAUCAUACUUAACAUUGAACUUAAUGGAAAAACAUGCUUUUCUCUCCAAUUUCAGAAACAAAGUCAGACUGUUCACUCUCACUACUUGUAUUCAACACUGUCUUAGUUGAUAUAAUAAGACAAAGAAGAAACAAACUGCGUAAAGAUU